UACAGAGGUGGCAAGCGUUGUUCGGAAUUACUGGGCGUAAAGGGCGCGUAGGCGGUCUUGUAAGUCUCGUGUGAAAUCCCUCGGCUUAACUGAGGAACUGCACGGGAUACUGCAUGACUUGAGGUCGGGAGAGGGAAGCGGAAUUCCGGGUGUAGCGGUGAAAUGCGUAGAUAUCCGGAGGAACACCGGUGGCGAAGGCGGCUUCCUGGACCGACUCUGACGCUGAGGCGCGAAAGCUAGGGGAGCAAACGGG
rnacentral:rRNA from 1 species